rnacentral:rRNA from 1 species
UACAGAGGGGGCAAGCGUUGUUCGGAAUUACUGGGCGUAAAGCGUGCGUAGACGGUUAUUUAAGUCGGAUGUGAAAGCCCCGGGCUCAACCUGGGAAUUGCAUUCGAGACUGAAUAGCUAGGGUGCGGUAGAGGGAAGCGGAAUUUCCGGUGUAGCGGUGAAAUGCGUAGAUAUCGGAAGGAACAUCAGUGGCGAAAGCGGCUUCCUGGACCAGCACCGACGUUCAGGCACGAAAGCGUGGGGAGCAAACAGG